rnacentral:rRNA from 1 species
GACAGAGGUGCCGAGCGUUAGGCGGAAUCACUGGGCUUAAAGCGUGCGUAGGCGGAUCGUUAAGUACCUUGUGAAAUCCCACGGCUUAACCGUGGAACUGCUGGGUAUACUGGCGAUCUUGAGGUGCUCAGGGGCGAGCGGAACAGAUGGUGGAGCGGUGAAAUGCGUAGAUAUCAUCUGGAACGCCUGCGGUGAAAACGGCUCGCUGGGAGCAAUCUGACGCUGAGACACGAAAGCCAGGGGGGCGAACGGG